UUACGAGCCUCAGCUUAAAACCCAAAGGACUUGACGGUGUCCCAUCCAACUAAGAGGAGCCUGUUCUAUAAUCGAUAACCCCCGAUAUACCUAACCCCCCCCUUGCCAAUCAGCCUGUAUACCUCCGUCGUAAACUCACCAUAUGAAUGCCAACAGUAAUUUUAAUGAUUUAUCAUCAAUACUUCAGGUCAAGGUGCAGCUCAUGAUGGGGAAAGCAAUGGGCUACAAUUUCUAAAAUAAAACCACGGAAUGCUCUAUGAAACACAGCAUGAAGGCGGAUUUAGUAUUAAAAAUUAAAUAAAUUGUUCUUUUUAAUAAGGCCCUGGGACUUGUACACACCGCCCGUCACM
rnacentral:rRNA from 1 species